GAAUCGUGAAGUGGGCACGAGUCGGUAACAUGACUAGCGCGGACGAAUGGAUAAUGCAAGAACGCAAACCAUCAGAAUCGUCGAAAGAAUACUGCAUCAUGACUAUCAAAUCCUAUCGCAGUACUAUGAUAUAGCCAUAAUGAAGUUGGAAACCUCAGUUACCUAUACUGGAUGAGCCAGACUGGCAUGUCUCCCGGUUGACUUGCCUGAUACUGGUACUGAUGGCGAAGCAGUUGCUAUUGGAUAGGGACGUGUUGAUUGGGCCGAUGCGAAUAGGGCUCCGACUAUUUAUUAAAAGUGACGCUCAAUUUGGUUCCACAACAGUCUUGCAAUGAGAGCUUUUUCGAUGUCAAUAGCAUUAUCAAGCUCACACGAGGCAUUGUUGACGAAUGGCAAAUAUGUGCAGGAGAAAAAGGAAAAGAUACUUGUCAGGACGACUGUGGAGAAGCAUCAUACCUGGUACGUACACUCGAAUCUAUCACUACAUCCCCUAGAUAGAAAGAGUGGCAUGGCCGGAGUACUUCAAAAAUAAUUAAUACAAGGUAAAUAUGCACAUAAGGUUAAGCUCCUCAAAAGUUCAUGAUCUUUAUAUAUGUUGUCAAGGACAUCAUUCUGAGUAACAUGCAAAAAGUUUUAGCUGUUGUUU